rnacentral:sRNA from 12 species
GGGGCUGGUCGAAAGACCCUGGUCCACUGAGACGGCGUGGGGAUCCCGC